CUCCGGUUGAUCCUGCCGGACCCGACUGCUAUCAGAGUGGGACUAAGCCAUGCGAGUCGACGUAGCAAUGCGUGGCGAACGGCUCAGUAACACGUAGUCAACAUGCCCAGGGGACGUGGAUAACCUCGGGAAACUGAGAAUAAACCACGAUAGGUCAUGAUUUCUGGAAUGGAUCAUGGCCCAAAUCUACAUGGCCCCUGGAUUGGACUGCGGCCGAUCAGGCAGUUGGUGAGGUAAAGGCCCACCAAACCUAUAACCGGUACGGGCUCUGAGAGGAGAAGCCCGGAGAUGGGCACUGAGACAAGGGCCCAGGCCCUAUGGGGCGCAGCAGGCGCGAAACCUCUGCAAUAGGCGAAAGCCUGACAGGGUUACUCUGAGUGAUUUCCGCUAAGGGGAUCUUUUAGCACCUCUAAAAAUGGUGCAGAAUAAGGGGUGGGCAAGUCUGGUGUCAGCCGCCGCGGUAAUACCAGCACCCCGAGUGGUCGGGACGAUUAUUGGGCCUAAAGCAUCCGUAGCCGGUUCUGCAAGUCUUCCGUUAAAUCCAGCCGCUCAACGGAUGGGCCGCGGAGGAUACUACAGGACUAGGAGGCGGGAGAGGCAAGCGGUACUCAGUGGGUAGGGGUAAAAUCCUUUGAUCCAUUGAAGACCACCAGUGGCGAAGGCGGCUUGCCAGAACGCACUCGACGGUGAGGGAUGAAAGCUGGGGGAGCAAACCGGAUUAGAUACCCGGGUAGUCCCAGCUGUAAACGAUGCAGACUCGGUGAUGGGCUAGCCUUGUGCCAGCCCAGUGCCGCAGGGAAGCCGUUAAGUCUGCCGCCUGGGGAGUACGGUCGCAAGACUGAAACUUAAAGGAAUUGGCGGGGGAGCA
rnacentral:rRNA from 1 species